rnacentral:rRNA from 1 species
GCACAAGCGGUGGAGCAUGUGGCUUAAUUCGACGCAACGCGAAGAACCUUACCUGGGUUUGACAUGCAGGGAAAUCUCAUAGAGAUAUGAGGUCCGCAAGGGUCCUGCACAGGUGGUGCAUGGCUGUCGUCAGCUCGUGUCGUGAGAUGUUGGGUUAAGUCCCGCAACGAGCGCAACCCUCGUCCUAUGUUGCCAGCGGAUAAUGCCGGGGACUCAUAGGAGACUGCCGGGGUCAACUCGGAGGAAGGUGGGGACGACGUCAAGUCAUCAUGCCCCUUAUGUCCAGGGCUGCACACAUGCUACAAUGGCGGUGACAAUGGGACGCUAAGGGGCAACCCUUCGCAAAUCUCAAAAAGCCGUCUCAGUUCGGAUUGGGCUCUGCAACUCGAGCCCAUGAAGUUGGAAUCGCUAGUAAUCGUGGAUCAGCAUGCCACGGUGAAUACGUUCCCGGGC